rnacentral:lncRNA from 1 species
CUUUCCGCUUUACUCAUCCUAGCUGUUAUUUGUAAGAAUAACAGGUAAAGUAUAUAUAUAUAUUUAAUAUUAAAUAUUAUAAUUAAAAUCAACACAAUUAUUACAUACAUUGAGACUUCCAUUUUGCUCAUCUUCUGAAGUAUGUUGCUAUCACUUUUUGUUUGCAGGUUGAUGACAGGGCUUUCAGCAGAUUGGACAGAUUGGGAAGCAGCACUGAAAAGACAGUUUUCAUUGGGAGUUACGAGCACCAUUUAUAGUUAUCAAGUCUUCUCCAGUGGAAAAGAAGAUGUGAUAAUUUAGGAAGAUAUCCUGCCAUGGAUAUUAUGCAUAACCAUUACAGACAUCAAUGAGAAUUUGAUCCAGAGAUUGACUGAAUGGAAUUUGGCCAGGGUAAGGAGUAAAGGAUAGUGCUCAUGAUUAUGUAACACUGAGUUUAUUCAGCAUGUACAAAUAAUUCUGAUUUCAAAAUACAGUUUAGGAUCCUGCCCUUUUCUUUCGGGUAAGUAAUGAGUUUUCCUUUUAUAAAGCAUAUUUUAUUGGAAAAAAUACUUGAAACAGAUUAUAAGAGAAAAAGAAA